CCCGGCGGCACUCCGAGCGCAGUAGCACCUGUUCUCGCUCAGGGCGUGCCCCGGGGUUUUGUUCCCGGCCGUUAAAUAGCGCCUUUUCGCAAGGUUGACCUCGGAUCAGGUAGGAGGACCCGCUGAACUUAAGCAUAUCAAUAAGCGGAGGAAAAGAAACCAACAGGGAUUGCCCUAGUAACGGCGAGUGAAGCGGCAACAGCUCAAAUUUGAAAUCUGGCUUCGGCCCGAGUUGUAAUUUGCAGAGGAAGCUUCCGGCGCGGCACCUCCUGAGUCCCCUGGAACGGGGCGCCACAGAGGGUGAGAGCCCCGUAUAGUUGGAUGCCCAGCCCGUGUGAAGCUCCUUCGACGAGUCGAGUAGUUUGGGAAUGCUGCUCAAAAUGGGAGGUAAAUUUCUUCUAAAGCUAAAUACCGGCCAGAGACCGAUAGCGCACAAGUAGAGUGAUCGAAAGAUGAAAAGCACUUUGAAAAGAGGGUUAAAUAGCACGUGAAAUUGUUGAAAGGGAAGCGCUUGUGACCAGACUUGCGCCGGGCUGAUCAUCCGGUGUUCUCACCGGUGCACUCUGCCCGGCUCAGGCCAGCAUCGGUUCCCGCGGGGGGACAAAGGCCCUGGGAACGUAGCUCCUCCGGGAGUGUUAUAGCCCGGGGCGUAAUGCCCUCGCGGGGACCGAGG
rnacentral:sRNA from 1 species